GAGGAAUCUUGCGCAAUGGGCGAAAGCCUGACGCAGCAACGCCGCGUGGAGGAUGAAGGUCUUCGGAUCGUAAACUCCUGUCAGAUGGGGCGAAGGUCCACCGCCUAAUACGCGGUGGUCUUGACGGUACCAUCAGAGGAAGCCACGGCUAACUCUGUGCCAGCAGCCGCGGUAAUACAGAGGUGGCGAGCGUUAUUCGGAAUUAUUGGGCGUAAAGGGCGCGUAGGCGGCCAGAUAAGUCCCGGGUGAAGUCCCUCGGCUCAACCGAGGAACUGCCUUGGAAACUGUCUGGCUCGAGGCCGGGAGAGGGUAGUGGAAUUCCCAGUGUAGCGGUGAAAUGCGUAGAUACUGGGAGGAACACCGGUGGCGAAGGCGGCUACCUGGACCGGUUCUGACGCUGAUGCGCGAAAGCGUGGGGAGCAAAC
rnacentral:rRNA from 1 species